rnacentral:rRNA from 1 species
CGUAACGCGUAUAGAACCUACCUUUUACUGGAGAAUAGCCCAGAGAAAUUUGGAUUAAUGCUCCAUAGUAUCAUUUUUUGGCAUCCUUAGAUGAUUAAAGAUUUAUCGGUAAAAGAUGGCUAUGCGUUCUAUUAGCUAGUUGGUAUGGUAACGGCAUACCAAGGCGACGAUAGAUAGGGGUCCUGAGAGGGAGAUCCCCCACACUGGUACUGAGACACGGACCAGACUCCUACGGGAGGCAGCAGUGAGGAAUAUUGGACAAUGGAGGCAACUCUGAUCCAGCCAUGCCGCGUGUAGGAAGACUGCCCUAUGGGUUGUAAACUACUUUUAUAGAGGAAGAAACCGCUCUACGUGUAGAGCUCUGACGGUACUCUACGAAUAAGGAUCGGCUAACUCCGUGCCAGCAGCCGCGGUAAUACGGAGGAUCCAAGCGUUAUCCGGAAUCAUUGGGUUUAAAGGGUCCGUAGGCGGGUUUGUAAGUCAGUGGUGAAAGUUUUCGGCUCAACCGGAAAAUUGCUAUUGAUACUGCAAGUCUUGAAUCGUUGUGAAGUGGUUAGAAUGUGUAGUGUAGCGGUGAAAUGCAUAGAUAUUACACAGAAUACCGAUUGCGAAGGCAGAUCACUAACAAUGUAUUGACGCUAAGGGACGAAAGCGUGGGUAGCGAACAGGAUUAGAUGCCCUGGUAGUCCACGCCGUAAACGAUGGUUACUAGCUGUUCGGAUUUCGGUCUGAGUGGCUAAGCGAAAGUGAUAAGUAACCCACCUGGGGAGUACGUUCGCAAGAAUGAAACUCAAAGGAAUUGACGGGGGCCCGCACAAGCGGUGGAGCAUGUGGUUUAAUUCGAUGAUACGCGAGGAACCUUACCAGGGCUUAAAUGUAGAUUG